UGGGAAGAAGCUUAAAUUGAGGGAAACUGCCGCGAGGUUAUUACUUUAAUAAAGGUACACUUAUUGAUAUCUUUGUAAGAGAUCAUUAUAUUAGUAUAAAAAUGGAAUAUUUAAUUAUAUUUUAUUUAUAAGUAGUUUUGUAUGCUUAUAUACAAUAGUUUUUAUUGUUAUUUGUCUUUUAUAAAACAAAACAUGUUUAUUAAGCUAAUUAGUAUCAGUUAACUCUUUUAAGUAACAUCU
rnacentral:rRNA from 1 species